rnacentral:lncRNA from 1 species
GUUUGGAUUGCCGACCUUCCUGCAGAUCAGUGGACUGGCGAGGCGUCUGGGGGUCAGAGGAUGGAGUGGAAGGGAAGAACUUCCAUCAUCGUAAACCACUUGGAAAAAUGGGUACACAAUAGCAAGACUCAAUGACCCCCUCCUCUUCACCCCCAGGAGGUCCUCUGUCUGUUCCUCCAUAGGUUUCCAGAUUAACUGCCCACAUCCAUGUAGUGAGAGCUUCCCUGAACAUUGGAGGUGACAGGAGAGGUGACAGGACUUCAGGACAAAGUACAACUAUAGGGCUUUGAGCUGAUCACUCCUUCCUUUGUCUGGAGCUACUGCUGGCUCCCGGCUGACUUUCCACCCCCACUCUGUCCCUCCUUCCCCUUCCCCAUCUCCACAAACACCUUCCCCUUCCUUCUAGGUGCCUUCUGAACUGCCUCCGGAGUCACAGGCCUGGCCACCCAUGGGGUCUUCAGGUGGGGCUGCCUUUGCCCCUCCACUGGGAGCCCCCAUGAUCUCUGUCUGAGCUGCUCUGGAAUCCACUCUCCCCCAAUUUGCAGGGUGACCUUGAGCCCCUUGUUCCAUUUCUGGGCCUGUGGGAGAUUCUCUGGGAAGAUAGUCUACCCUGAUGCCCCUUGUUCUGCUGUGACCUGGGGAGGGAGAAUGAGUGGAAUGAAGCUUGUUCAGUUCUAGAAGAGUCACUGCUUGAGGAGACAGUCUCAUGAGUCUUAAGAUUACUUUGCCUCUCUCCUCCCUUUUUAAAGACCCAAGUGACUUGAACUUUUAAUUCGAUGACAAUAUGGACAUUGGCUGGGUCCAUGUUAUAUGUAUCCCUGUGAAAGCUAGUGACACCACAUUGGGACAUGGGAUCCAGAGUUGGGUCCUCCUCUGACUCACCAUCAGGUUGUCUCCAAAAAGCAGAGUGGAGGUGGGAGGCCCCUCCCCUCCCUAGUACAGGUUGCUCAAACCCCCUCAGGCCAGAUUGCAACCCUAGCUCUAUCUAAAGGGAAUUGUGCAUAGUCAUUGCCCUGGGCCCACAGGGUGAUCCUGGAAUAGGAAUAGGAGGUUUUAACACUCCUUGCAGUAUAUCCCACAGGGCAUGGCAGGCUCAGGUUGUGGGGGGCUGGGUGCAAAGUGAUGGUUAAUGGCUAACUUUCCUUAGAACUCCUCCAGCCUCCUUCCAACUUCAGGGUCUUUUUUUUUUUUUUUUGGUAGCGGGGAUUGAACUCAGGAGCACUUAACCUCUGAGCCACAUCCUCAGCCCUUUUAAUUAUUUUAUUUAGAGUGAGGGUCUUGUUAAGGCUGGUUUUGAACUCAGGAUCCUCCUGCCUCAGCUUCCUGUGCCUCUGGGAUUAUAGGCAUGCGCCACUGCACUUGGCAUAACUUCAGGGUCUUUUGCUGAGACCUCCUUUUAAUGCUCACUGCUUCUCUAUGGACUGAAGAAGGUUGAGAUGAGAGGGAUGCAGGGGAGGAGGCCAUAGUGAGCCCUCAGUAUCUGGAGCCUCUGCCCUGCCCAGGGUAGGGAUGCGGGAGGGUGCUCUGCCAAAGUGUUCACAUUUGUGAUCCUCGGGGGCAAGGGGCAGACAGGGAGGAUGUUUAGUGGCUUCCCUUACAUAUUUCACUCAGCAGCUUGGAGCAUGGACCAAGGUGAGGAGGCCUGUGCUUGGAAGGGGCCCUGAGCCAGCAAAUAAACAUUUACAAACUGUAAAAAGACCUUGUCCUUGCUGCUGGAGAGCCGGCCAGGAGGUGGAGACAGGACCAGAGCAUGAAUGAUAGAAAAGGCAAGAUGGAGUGAGUGGAAGCCAAUUCCUCUCCUCUAGGGCCCUCAGGACACCACUCCAGCAGAAUUAGGGUACCCAAGAGAUGACCUAUCACCCCCAUCAAAUCACAGCACUUUGUGCAGAGGGAGUAGGCUGGCAAAGUAAUAUUGGAUGUUUGGGGCAAACUGGGGGAAAUUGCUGCAUUUCCCUUCUCAGCCCAGGCCCUCACAGAGGCUACCUCAGCCCCAGGCCAGACCCAGAUCUGGGAGGGUAAUGAAACUGGUUGGUCCCUUUCUUCCCACAGGUAUCAGAGCCCCCUCUUUGCUCCCUUGGGGGAGCCUGGGAACAGCUGGGCCAAAGCCCAACCAGGAAUUUUUCCAGGCUGGUUCCUAUAUCCAAG